UCCAUUUUUGGCUCAACUGGGUAGAGGGUUGACCAGUGCGCAACAGGCCAGGGUUCGACUCCCCGUUGUGGUA